rnacentral:sRNA from 1 species
AAAAACUCUUUAAAAAAA